CGGCGUGCUUAACACAUGCAAGUCGAACGAGGGAAUUCUUUUCGGAGAAUAUACCGAGUGGCAAACGGGUGAGUAACGCGUAGGCAACCUGCCUUCAAGAUGGGGACAACAGUCCGAAAGGGCUGCUAAUACCGAAUGACAUGUCUGAACCGCAUGGGACGGACAGCAAAGACGGCCUCCAAACUAUGCUGUCGCUUGAAGAUGGGCCUGCGUCUGAUUAGCUAGUUGGUGAGAUAACAGCCCACCAAGGCGACGAUCAGUAGCCGGUCUGAGAGGAUGAACGGCCACAUUGGGACUGAGACACGGCCCAGACUCCUACGGGAGGCAGCAGUGGGGAAUCUUCCGCAAUGGGCGAAAGCCUGACGGAGCAACGCCGCGUGAGUGAAGAAGGUCUUCGGAUCGUAAAGCUCUGUUGAAGGGGACGCACGGCGCCUGUUACAAGAUAGCAGGUGAAUGACGGUACCCUUCGAGGAAGCCACGGCUAACUACGUG
rnacentral:rRNA from 1 species